GAACAUGCAGAUCUCCGAAGUACACUGCUGAGGGGAGCAGCAGAUUACCACUGUCAUGUGAAUUCAGGCUUCAAGUUCAUGUGAGGACCAAGACUUGUCACUUACCAUCUCAAAAGUAAUCCUCUUAUCUCAUCCCAAAACCAGGAGCUGGAGAGGUGUUGCUGUCCUUUGCCCCAACAUCCCCCGACAAAGGCCUGGAUAUAAACUGAGACAACACAACUAGGCCCUCCCUGGUGGCGCAGCAGGUUCAAG